UACGUAGGUGGCGAGCGUUGUCCGGAUUUACUGGGCGUAAAGGGAGCGUAGGCGGACUUUUAAGUGAGAUGUGAAAUACCCGGGCUCAACUUGGGUGCUGCAUUUCAAACUGGAAGUCUAGAGUGCAGGAGAGGAGAAUGGAAUUCCUAGUGUAGCGGUGAAAUGCGUAGAGAUUAGGAAGAACACCAGUGGCGAAGGCUAUUCUCUGGACUGUAACUGACGCUGAGGCUCGAAAGCGUGGGGAGCAAACAGGAUUAGAUACCCGUGUA
rnacentral:rRNA from 1 species